GACGAACGCUGGCGGCGUGCUUAACACAUGCAAGUCGAACGAAGAGCGAUGGAAGCUUGCUUCUAUCAAUCUUAGUGGCGAACGGGUGAGUAACGCGUAAUCAACCUGCCCUUCAGAGGGGGACAACAGUUGGAAACGACUGCUAAUACCGCAUACGAUCUAACCUCGGCAUCGAGGAUGGAUGAAAGGUGGCCUCUAUUUAUAAGCUAUCACUGCAGGAGGGGAUUGCGUCUGAUUAGCUAGUUGGAGGGGUAACGGCCCACCAAGGCGAUGAUCAGUAGCCGGUCUGAGAGGAUGAACGGCCACAUUGGGACUGAGACACGGCCCAGACUCCUACGGGAGGCAGCAGUGGGGAAUCUUCCGCAAUGGACGAAAGUCUGACGGAGCAACGCCGCGUGAGGGAUGACGGCCUUCGGGUUGUAAAGCUCUGUUAAUCGGGACGAAAGGCCUUCUUGCGAAUAGUUAGAAGGAUUGACGGUACCGGAAUAGAAAGCCACGGCUAACUACGUG
rnacentral:rRNA from 1 species